AUUGAACGCUGGCGGCAGGCUUAACACAUGCAAGUCGAGCGGGGUGAUGGUGCUUGCACUAUCACUUAGCGGCGGACGGGUGAGUAAUGCUUAGGAAUCUGCCUAUUAGUGGGGGACAACAUCUCGAAAGGGAUGCUAAUACCGCAUACGUCCUGCGGGAGAAAGCAGGGGAUCACUUGUGACCUUGAGCUAAUAGAUGAGCCUAAGUUGGAUUAGAUAGUUGGUGGGGUAAAGGCCUACCAAGGCGACGAGCUGUAGCGGGUCUGAGAGGAUGAUCCGCCAAACUGGGACUGGGACACGGGCCUGAGUCCGACGGGAGGCAGCAGUGGGGAAUAUUGGACAAUGGGGGGAACCCUGAUCCAGCCAUGCCGCGGGUGUGAAGAAAGCCUUGUAGUAGUAAAGCACUUUAAGCGAUGAGGAAGCUCUUUUGGUUAAUACCCAAGAUGAGUGGACAUUACUCGCAGAAUAAACACCGGCUAACUCUGUGCCAGCAGCCGCAGUAA
rnacentral:rRNA from 1 species